rnacentral:rRNA from 1 species
AACCCCGGGAGGGGAGUGAAAGAGAACCUGAAACCUUAUGUUUACAAACAGUCGAAGUUUUUCGGAACGACGGCGUACUUUUUGUAGAACGGUCCGGCGAGUUGCAGUGACAUGCGAGGUUAAGGAGUACAGCUCCGGAGCCGAAGGGAAACCAAGUCUUAACUGGGCGUCUAGUAUGUUAAUGCAGACCCGAAACCGGGUGACCUAUCCAUGGGCAGGUUGAAGUUACCGUAAAAGGUAAUGGAGGACCGAACUCACAUCUGUUGAAAAAGGUGGAGAUGACCUGUGGAUAGCGGAGAAAUUCCAAUCGAACUCGGAGAUAGCUGGUUCUCCUCGAAAUAGCUUUAGGGCUAGCCUUGAGGUAAAGUCUAAUGGAGGUAAAGCACUGAUUGGACGCGGGUCCCCAAAAGGAUACCAACUUCUAUCAAACUCAGAAUGCCAUAUAGAUAUACUCAGGAGUCAGACUAUGUGAGAUAAGUUUCAUAGUCAAAAGGGAAAGAGCCCAGACCGACAGCUAAGGUCCCAAAGUGUGUGUUAAGUGGAAAAGGAUGUUAGGUUUCUAAGACAACUAGGAUGUUGGCUCAGAAGCAGCCACUCAUUUAAAGAGUGCGUAACAGCUCACUAGUCGAGAGGUCUAGCGCCGAAAAUGUCCGGGGCUAAAACACACCACCGAAGCUACGGAAUUACCUAUGGUAAUUGGUAGAGGAGCAUUCUGUAAGGACGAAGCACAAUUGAAAGAGAGUGUGGACGAAACAGAAGAGAGAAUGCCGGAAUGAGUAGCGAGAUAUAUGUGAGAAUCAUAUAGGUCGAAUGUCUAAGGUUUCCUGGGUAAAGCUGAUCUGCUCAGGGUAAGUCGGGACCUAAGGUGAGGGCGAGAGCCGUAAUCGAUGGACAACAGGUAGAAAUUCCUGUACUACGUAUAAUCAGAACUGUGGGGACGCAGGAGGAUAGGAAAACCGGAGAAUGGAAAUAUCCGGCUAAGUACAAAGGUGUGAGUGAUAGGCAAAUCCGUCACUAUAAGCUGAAGUACGAAUGGGAGCGAAGAAAAGUAGCGAAGUUUCUGAACCACACUGUCAAGAAAAGCCGCUAUUGCGUUAUACGUACCCGUACCGCAAACCGACACAGGUAGACGAGGAGAAAAUCCACAGACCGACGGGAGAAGUGUUGUUAAGGAACUCGGCAAAAUGACCCCGUAACUUAGGGAUAAGGGGAGCCAACGCAAGUUGGUCACAGAAAAGAGGCUCAAGCGACUGUUUAGCAAAAACAUAGGUCUAUGCGAAACCGUAAGGUGAUGUAUAUGGGCUGACACCUGCCCGGUGCUGGAAGGUCAAAAGGAGAGGUUAGCGUAAGCGAAGCUUUGAAUUCAAGCCCCAGUAAACGGCGGCCGUAACUAUAACGGUCCUAAGGUAGCGAAAUUCCUUGUCAGGUAAGUUCUGACCCGCACGAAAGGUGUAACGAUUUGAGCACUGUCUCGACAACACGCCCGGUGAAAUUGAAGAACCAGUGAAGAUACUGGUUACCCGCAACAGGACGGAAAGACCCCAUGGAGCUUUACUGCAGCUUAAUAUUGGGAUUCGGUAUUGUAUGUACAGGAUAGGAGGGAGACUAAGAAGCUAGCACGCCAGUGUUGGUGGAGUCGAUGGUGGGAUACCUCUCUUAUAAUACUGAAUUUCUAACCUACUUCCGUGAUCCGGAAGAGGGACAUUGUUAGGCGGGCAGUUUGACUGGGGCGGUCGCCUCCGAAAGAGUAACGGAGGCGCUCAAAGGUCUUCUCAGAAUGAUUGGAAACCAUUCAAAGAGUGUAAAGGCAAAAGAAGGCUUGACUGCAAGAGUGACAACUCGAGCAGGUACGAAAGUAGGACUUAGUGAUCCGGUGGUAACAAGUGGGAGUGCCAUCGCUUAACGGAUAAAAGCUACCCUGGGGAUAACAGGCUGAUCUCCCCCAAGAGUCCACAUCGUCGGGGAGGUUUGGCACCUCGAUGUCGGCUCAUCGCAUCCUGGGGCUGUAGUAGGUCCCAAGGGUUGGGCUGUUCGCCCAUUAAAGCGGUACGCGAGCUGGGUUCAGAACGUCGUGAGACAGUUCGGUCCCUAUCCGUUGUGGGCGUAGGAAAUUUGAUAGGAGCUGUCCUUAGUACGAGAGGACCGGGAUGGACGAACCUCUGGUGAAUCUGUUGGUAACCAAUGCCACAGCAGAAUAGCCAAGUUUGGAACGGAUAAACGCUGAAGGCAUCUAAGCGUGAAGCCAACCUAAAGACUAGAUUUCCCAUGCGAAAGCAGUAAGACUCCUUGU